rnacentral:rRNA from 1 species
CCCUACGGGGUGCCCCAGAGAAGGUUAUAAAGUGAAGGAUAGAGCAUCAAGACAACACCAGCGAUGCUCAACAUGAAGAUAAUCUUUCUGAGAUCAAGCCAUUUCAAUAUCAAAGAACCCCUCCUAUAGAAAUAUACCCGCGUAAGAGAUAAUAAGCAAGCUUCAAUGACUCCCAGCAAAAGUCGCUAACCCCCUGGAUAUCGCGCCACCAGGAAUCAUUUUUGUGUUCAGUGAAAUAAGAAUAGGGAACAAUAUGAAUGCCUAACCGUUUACCCUCUUGCUUGUACACGCUAAAACUCCUCCGUGUGUGGAACCCUUCGCUCACCAGGAGGGCGCUUCGAAUUCUGUCCCGUGAAAGCCUGUCCACUACAAAACGUGCUUCUGAGAGAGUAAUAGGAUGACCCGGAAUUGGCGGGAGGGC